UUAUUUAAUAAGAAUUUAGGUCACACAUAUAUUUAUUAAUUUAUAAUUAAAAUUAAUUUUUAAAAAAUAUUUUAAAUCUAAUUUAUAUGGGUCUCACAUAUUUUUUAUUAUACUUAAUUUCACUAUUUUUAUACUACUAUAAUUUGUUUUUACUUUCUUACCCCAUUAUAAAUUUAUAACUAUAUAAUACAUUAACUAUUUUUUUAUUCUUUCUUACGCAGACACUCAUAUCCCCUUUAUUUUCUUCCCCAUUUACCCCUUUUUUCCCUUCUCAUUUACCGUCCUUACCUUUGCCGCUGUAUUUCAUUCUCUGCAAAAAAACCCCAGCAUCAUCAUCUUCAUAUAAGCGAAUCGGCUCCAAAGAAGACAGGCCAAAGUAAAGCCCGGGAGUGUCCUUUUUUGACACGCUUCAAGGUGUGUCCGGUACGUAUCCGGCCGUGUCGGCGGCGUGUCCGUGUCGGACACCAGUACGACACUGGUACGAGGGGAUUUUCCCCGUGUCGGUGCUUCCUAGGUUGACCAUUUUCUGAUCAGGAAAAAAGAAGAGGGUUUUGUGCAAUGGGAAGCAAUCAGUUUCUUGGGGCUGAUAUCAUCAAUAACCCCAUUUGGAGGAAAAAUGGAGCACUGAUGCUUCAACAACAUCACAAUUUUCUCAAGAAAGUAUUUUUACUCGCAGACUGCUAAGUUGAAUGAUAAUUAUAAGCACAAACAGUUAAAUCGGUGGCAGCUGGUUGUUUAAAAUUUGUGUGCAAAGCUGCUGAACUAGCAAUAAUGAAAACAAGCAGGUGAUUUGACCGCUCAACAAUCGUGGGAUUUAGUCUAAUUUGAGAUUUUUUUAUCAAAAUAUUACAAAAAAAAACCAAAAUAA